AAAAAUCAUAGAGGUUGCUAUUGACAUCAGUAGCUUGUGGAGUAUUUACAGAUACGAGGAAGCAAGUCAAAGGGGAAAUAGCCGAAGCACUAGUACUGUAAGGUUAGUUAGCUGGGUCGUUAGUCAAUAACUGGCGGACUGUCGCGCAAGCGGAGUGCUAUGUGGUUG
rfam:Leuconostoc pseudomesenteroides PS12 contig_040, whole genome shotgun sequence.